UAUACAUUCGACCUAUCCGGUCGUCGGGUACCAUUGCUAGAUGGUCACUUCGAUUGGUACAGAAAUUUAUUCCUGUGCUACCGACUUAGGUUCGGACCUAUGAGGUUACACACAUUAGAGUUCAUGAUCCGAUCGGAUGGUUGAUCAAUGAUUAAGAAUCAUUCUAGGGUUAAAUGAUCAAUACGAUUGACAUUUAACCCAGUGCAAGUGUUGCAGGAGGAUCGAUUAGCAAUUCGAUUGCUAAUUGGCUUAAUUUGAUUAAGCCAAUGGGCUGAGAUUAAGUCUAAUUAAAUAUGANNN
rnacentral:lncRNA from 1 species